UGGGGAAUUUUGCACAAUGGGGGAAACCCUGAUGCAGCGACGCCGCGUGAUUUAGAAGGCCUUCGGGUUGUAAAAAUCUUUUCUCUGGGAAGAAAAUGACAGUACCAUAGGACUAAGGACCGGCUAAUUACGUGCCAGCAGCCGCGGUAAUACGUAAGGUCCGAGCGUUGUCCGGAAUCAUUGGGCGUAAAGGGUACGUAGGCGGGUAAGCAAGUUAGAAGUGAAAUCCUAUAGCUCAACUAUAGUAAGCUUUUAAAACUGCUCAUCUUGAGGUAUGGAAGGGAAAGUGGAAUUCCUAGUGUCGCGGUGAAAUGCGAAGAUAUUAGGAGGAAUAACGGUGGCGAAGGCGACUUUCUGGCCAUAACCUGACGCUGAGGUACGAAAGCGUGGGUAGCAAACAGG
rnacentral:rRNA from 1 species